rnacentral:pre_miRNA from 1 species
AAUCUAUUGGAAUUAUCAUUUGUUUUAAAUUAAUUUGGAUUUUGGAACCAGGCCUUUGCAAUUUGCUUCAUAAACUUUGAAGUAUUGUUUCAUAAAUCACAUUGGAAGGCUUAUUACUUAAGAGUGUGUUUGGAUGGGGGAAUGUUUUGAGGGAAUGUAUUGUUUUAAGGGAAUUCAAAUACUUUGGGGUGAAUUCCAUUGUUUGGAUAAUAAUUUGAAGCAUUUUCAAAAUGAUG